ACGCGUGGGCGACCUGGCCCGGGGAUGGGGACAGCCGCUGGAAACAGCGGGUAAUACCGAAUACGCCCGUGCAGUUGAGGCUGCAUGAGGAAAGGGGCUACGGCCCCGCCCCGGGAUGGGCCCGCGUCCCAUUAGCUUGUUGGGGCGGUAACGGCGCACCAAGGCGAAGAUGGGUAGCCGGCCUGAGAGGGCGAACGGCCACACUGGGACUGAGAUACGGCCCAGACUCCUACGGGAGGCAGCAGCUAAGAAUAUUCCGCAAUGGGCGAAAGCCUGACGGAGCGACGCCGCGUGGAUGACGAAGGCCGAAAGGUUGUAAAAUCCUUUUGCAGGCGCAGAAGAAGGCGGGGAGGGAAUGCCCCGCCGGUGACAAAGGUCUGUGAAUAAGCCCCGGCUAAUUACGUGCCAGCAGCCGCGGUAACACGUAAGGGGCGAGCGUUGUUCGGAAUUAUUGGGCGUAAAGGGCGCGUAGGCGGCCUGGCAAGUCCGGCGUGAAAUAUCGGGGCUUAACCCCGGGGCUGCGCUGGAAACUGCCUGGCUUGAGUCACGGAGGGGCAGCCGGAAUUCCUGGUGGAGGGGUGAAAUCUGUAGAUAUCAGGAAGAACACCGGUGGCGAAGGCGGGCUGCCAGCCGAUGACUGACGCUGAGGCGCGAAAGUGCGGGGAGCAAACAGGAUUAGAUACCCUGGUAGUCCGCGCCGUAAACGAUGUGCACUAGGUGUCGGGGCGAGCGUCUCGGCGCCGGAGCGAACGCGAUAAGUGCACCGCCUGGGGAGUAUGCCCGCAAGGGUGAAACUCAAAGGA
rnacentral:rRNA from 1 species